AACGAACGCUGGCGGCGUGGAUUAGGCAUGCAAGUCGAACGCGAAAGAGGGAGCAAUCCCUCAAGUAGAGUGGCGAACGGGUGAGUAACGCGUGAAGAACCUGCCUUCAACAGGGGGAUAACACUCCCAACGGGGUGCUAAUACCGCAUGAGACCACGGGUCCGCAUGGACCUGAGGUCAAAGGUGGCCUCUGCUUGCAAGCUACCGGUUGAAGAUGGCUUCGCGUCCCAUUAGCUAGUUGGCGGUGUAAAAGACCACCAAGGCGACGAUGGGUAGCUGGUCUGAGAGGAUGGUCAGCCACACUGGGACUGAGAUACGGCCCAGACUCCUACGGGAGCAGCAGUCGAGAGGCUUUGGCAAUGGGGAAACCCUGACCAAGCGACGCCGCGUGGAGGAUGAAGGCCCUUGGGUUGUAAACUCCUUUUGUCGGGGAAGAAAUGCGAUCAGGUAAACAAUCUGGUCGUUUGACGGUACCCGGCGAAUAAGCUCCGGCUAACUCCGUGCC
rnacentral:rRNA from 1 species